UUUGAAAUACUGACCUGUAAAUUUCCCUUUGAUAAAAAGGACUGCAAAAGAAGUUGGGAACCCAGCUGAGGUAAGAAGAAAGGGUGCCUUUUAUUCAUGUGCUUUAGGGAAGUAGGAGAGUCUAAUGAGCAAGAAUAGAGAAGUGCUUUCUUCCUAAUGAAUAGGUAACCCACAUGAAUGCCCUUGGUUUACCCAUUUGGCGAAACCUGAAAUGGAAAACACUGCCAAGUCAUGCCUCAAUGAAUAGCUUCGUUUGAGAAUUCUGAACAUGUCAAGGGGGCAGUGCUAAACGAACAUGUUUUUAUUCAUCUUGGAAGCCUUGUAGGGUAAUUAGGGAAGUGGGGACACUCAGAUUGAGUAAGGAGUGGCAUUCAGGCUAUUUUAGGGACAGACUGUGGUGGCAGCUGCUGAAAACCAAGAAUUUUCCAAAGGCUACAGGGGAUAGGAUAACACUCAGUAGGGCUUUUGAAGAUGAAAUCCACAGUUUAAGGCCCUCCUGACAUCCCUGGUUUGAUUUCAACUUUGAUUAUGCAUGAGGUAACACUCAUAUUUAUUUCCAUUGUUCUUUAAUAUGCUGUUGUCCUUUUAAAAGACUGACCCAAAUGGAGGGACUGAUUUUGGAGUUUUGCAAAUAGCAACCACAGUGUGUGUGUGUGUGUGUGUGUGUGUGUGUGUGUGUGUGUGUGUGUACUGAUGAGACAGAGAGAAAGAGGGAGAUGGAUAGACAGAAAGGCAGAGUCAUCAGAAACAGAAAAAUUUGACUGUGUUUCCAUUUCCCUCCCCAAGUUGAAUAGCUUUAGUUCAUCUCACGUGUAGCUUGAGUCCAAUAAAGUGACUAAAUCCUGAUUCUGCUCUUUCCUCAGAACUUAUUGAGAGAUUGUAAGUUGCAAGAAGCCCUUGAUCUCCUGGGGAAGGUCUCAGCAGAAACAUCACUUCCUCGGGGAAGCCUUACAACCUGCUAAACCAGUCUGGGACCUUCUUAUUCCCACAAAGCCUAGAUAUUUUCUCCUUUGCAUCCUGAACCACAUCCUGCUUUUCCAGGGUCAGUUUUUGCCACUUGACUGAAGAGUCCAUGAGGUUAAGUUCCAUGAGCCUGGAACACAACAGGUGUUCAAUCAGUGUUGAAUAAGUAUGAGAUGACAGUCAGGACAGGCGACAGGCAAAGUCAGUGGACGCAGAGGACUGUCAAGCAGGACUGAGACGUCAGCAUUGUAAAAUGCUCCUGGGAGGUGAAAUCAGACCAGCAGGAAAAAGAAAACUAAAAUUAUCUACAGACUUUGUUGGUAAGGAAGCAAUUGUUAUGCGCAGCUUUAGAAGAAUAGCAAGUAAAAGAAGACUGCAUUCAUCUGAGAAACCAAAGUGGAGGAAGUCAAGAAGGCAACUGGACACAGAUUUUUAAGAAUACACAGAUUAACAGCUAGAAAGAAUCAGGUGAAGGAGGCAGCAGAAAAAGGAAGAGGUUGAAAUAUACAAGAGAGAAACCAUUAAGAAGUAAAGACGCAAGCCACACAUGGGAAAAAAAUAUUUGUAGCCUAUAUAAAUACUAAUAGAUUUAUAUCCAGAAUCCACAAAAAAACCCUAAUAUCAAUUAAUUUAAAAAAUCAAAUUGAAAAAUUGGUAAAGGACUUGAACAAGCAUCAUACAAGGAGGAAUUCAAAUGGCCAACAGGUAUGAGAAAGGUGCUUAAUCAUGCUGACAUUAGGGAAAGACUUCAAAAAAACAAGGCACCACUGCCAUCCUUCUGAAAAGGAGGGGAGAAGGACUAUGAAUAUAGAUGUAUCUGGAGGUCUGAGAGUGAGCAGUUAAGGCAGCUCAGGCCUGUCUUUUUUUUCAGCAUGAGAGAAGCUGUCAGUGACAUAAGUACUUAAGGUGAUCCAUUAAGAUUUGGAAUAAUCAUUCUGAGGAAUGUGAGUGCAUGAUCUUUGGAACAAGAAUAUAAUCCCUGUAAAAGUUU